GCCCCCAUUGGACAGCUGCGAGAAGAAAACAGGCCAACGUUAGUUCCGAAGAGCAACGGGCAAAACGUUUUCGUGUCGGCGUGGUGUACCUCGCUGCUUUGGGAAAAUUUCCUCCGGAUGCUGAUGGAGAAACGCAAAAAUAAGGUUUUUAUUUUUUUUUUAACGUGAUAGUUCAGAAAACAUGUCGAGUCAGAGUGUUGACCUUCAUGAGGGGCCGCGCCUUCUUCUCAAACAAGCCCGAGGGGAAAAGGUAGGCGAUGCUUCUCUGCAGCGUGGCAGAAAAAAAAAAAACAUUUUAGAAGAAAGUAAAAACAAUGACAACAGAUGAGGUCGAAGGUCAUGGAGACAGCAGGACGCAAGCUGCCCGCGGGUUCAAGGAAAGGUGGUGCGCAGGCGGCACCUUGACAUUUCAGCUCGUCAUCAGCAGCGGAGGAACAACAAAAGGCUCUCGCAGUUCGACAAGAAGCGUGGUAAAAGGCAACGACAGAUGAAGUCACCCCUGCGUCCCCCCCUCGCAAUAUGGCGGCCAUUCCCAAGAGGGCGCCAGCUGAACAUUUAAUGGGCAUCACAACGGCUUUCAUUUUUGGGUGGCAUGGAGGUAAAGAAAUUAAAUACAAGUCAUCGGCACAGA